rnacentral:misc_RNA from 1 species
AUCCUCUUCCUCCUCCACUUGGAAACAGCUUGGUGAAUUACAAUCCAAAGCGUAAAGAGCCGAGAAGCAAUGAACAUAGAAUGGGAUUUGAUUAUGAUCCUUCUUGCCGUUCUGUGGAUCAUUCUUCACAGAGCAGGGUAAGUCUCCAAUUGUUAUACUUAUGAUUUAGGAUUCUUAUUCUUGAUGGUUCCACUGUGCUGUACAGAGUUGUCCUGUGUGUUUAUGGAGUAAGAAAGAUCUUGCACUUGGAUGUGGACAUCAGACGUGUUAUGAUUGUGGGAGGGACUUGAACUUGUGCCCCAUUUGCCA